UUAAGAAAAUAAGUGCAAGCGGUGGAUGCCUUGGCAUUCAGAGGCGAUGAAGGACGUGAUAAUCUGCGAUAAGCUUCGGUUAGCUGGUAAAUGAGCUAUGACCCGGAGAUUUCCGAAUGGGGGAACCCACCUGACACAAGUUGGGUACUCACUCGAUAUAGAGUGUAGAGCGAACGAGGGGAACUGAAACAUCUAAGUACCCUUAGGAAGAGAAAUCAAUUGAGAUUCCCGUAGUAGUGGCGAGCGAAGUGGGAAGAGCCUGGUAUGAUUUAGCUGUAAUUAUAGUAGAACAAGUUGGGAAGCUUGACGAUAGAGGGUGAUAGUCCCGUAUACGAAAUAAUCACAGUGGAACUAAGCAUACGAACAAGUAGGACGGGGCACGUGGAACCUUGUCUGAAUAUGGGGGGACCAUCCUCCAAGGCUAAAUACUCCUGAAUGACCGAUAGUGAACUAGUACCGUGAGGGAAAGGUGAAAAGAACCCUUAUAAAGGGAGUGAAAUAGAAUCUGAAACCGCUUGCAUACAAGCAGUAGGAGCAUGAUUUAGUCAUGUGACUGCGUACCUUUUGUAUAAUGGGUCAGCGAGUUAUUUUUAGUGGCGAGGAUAACUGAAUAAGGGAUCCGUAGCGAAAGCGAGUUUUAAUAGGGCGACUAGUCGCUAGGAGUAGACCCGAAACCGGCGCGAUCUAUCCAUGGCCAGGUUGAAGAUUAGGUAGUACUAAUUGGAGGACCGAACCCAAUACUGUUGCAAAAGUAUGGGAUGAGCUGUGGAUCGGAGUGAAAGGCUAAUCAAGCACGGAGAUAGCUGGUUCUCCCCGAAAACUAUUUAGGUAGUGCCUCGUGUAUAACUCAUUGGGGUAAAGCACUGUUUCGACAAUGGGGGUUUUACGACCUUACUGACUCGAUGCAAACUCAGAAUACGAUGAAGUUCGAUCACGGGAGACACACUGCGGGUGCUAAGGUCCGCAGUGGAAAGGGAAACAGCCCAGACCGCCAACUAAGGUCCCAAAGUCAUAGCUAAGUGGGAAACGAAGUGGGAAGGCCCAGACAGCCAGGAGGUUGGCUUAGAAGCAGCCACCCUUUAAAGAAAGCGUAAUAGCUCACUGGUCGAGUCGGCCUGCACGUAAGAUUUAACGGGGCUAAGCUAUGCACUGAAGUUGCGGAAUAUAUUUAGUAUAUUGGUAGGGGAGCGUUCUGUAAGCCGAUGAAGGUGAAUUGAGAAGUUUGCUGGAGGUAUCAGAAGUGCGAAUGCUGACAUGAGUAACGUAAAAUAAGUGAGAUUCUUAUUGGCCGAAAACCCAAGGGUUCCUACGCAAUGUUAAUCAACGUAGGGUAAGCCGGCCCCUAAGGCGUAGCUGAAGAGUGAAGUCGAUGGGAAACAGGUUAAUAUUCCUGUGCUGCUUAUAUGAACGAAGGAGGGACGGAGAAGGUUAGGUAGGCCUGGCGAAUGGUUGUCCAGGUGAAAGUAUGUAGGUAGGAAUGCUAGGCAAAUCCGGUGUUCUGUUGAUCUGAGAUACGAGACGAAGUUAAACUUGUUUGACGAAGCUAUUGAUACCAUGCUUCCAGGAAAAGCUUCUAAGUAUAUUGUAUAAGUGACCGUACUGUAAACCGACACUGGUGGGUAGGUAGAGAAUACUAAGGCUAUGAGAUAACUCUGGUGAAGGAACUAGGCAAAAUGACACCGUAACUUUGGAAGAAGGUGUGCCCUUGAUGGUGAUGAGACUUGCUCUUUGAGCUGUUGGGGGUUGCAGAUACCAGGUGGCUGCGACUGUUUAUCAAAAACACAGCACUCUGCGAAAUCGUAAGAUGAAGUAUAGGGUGUGACGCCUGCCCGGUGCUGGAAGGUUAAUUGAAGGGGUUAGCGCAAGCGAAGCUCUGGAUCGAAGCCCCAGUAAACGGCGGCCGUAACUAUAACGGUCCUAAGGUAGCGAAAUUCCUUGUCGGGUA
rnacentral:rRNA from 1 species